GCGCCCGUAGCUCAGUUGGAUAGAGCGUCGGUCUCCGGAACCGAAGGUCGCGCGUUCGAAUCGCGCCGGGCGCACCA
rnacentral:tRNA from 1 species